AACAUCGCGCACCUGCGGGAACCUGCGGAAGGAUCAUUACCGAGUUUACAAACUCCCAACCCUUUGUGAACCUUACCAUAUUGUUGCUUCGGCGGGACCGCCCCGGCGCCUUCGGGCCCGGAACCAGGCGCCCGCCGGAGGCCCCAAACUCUUAUGUCUUUAGUGGUUUUCUCCUCUGAGUGACACAUAAACAAAUAAAUAAAAACUUUCAACAACGGAUCUCAGAUCGGAAGAGCACAC
rnacentral:misc_RNA from 1 species